GACUAGGAUAACUCAGUCAGUAGAGCAUGAGGCCCUUAAUCUCAGGGUCAUGGGUUCAAGCCUCACGUCAGGCA